UCAGUGUUCCAGCUAGGAUUUGAAAAUAGAGGGGCGCGUUUUUAAAAAGGGCACUUUAGCGCGUUCUCACUGAAAAAAAUCAAAUACUUAAUAUUACCACAUAAAGACAUAUUUUUAGCAAGCAUGUAGCUAAGUUAAAUAGCUAUUAUAUACAAGUUUAAAAAUCAUUUAUUUAGAACAUAUAAGUUAAAAUCAAACUGAUAGCAAUAAUAGACAUUACUAUAUUCAUUUCUCUUUCAGAAC
rnacentral:lncRNA from 1 species